UGUGAGGUUAAGCGACUAAGCGUACACGGUGGAUGCCCUGGCAGUCAGAGGCGAUGAAGGACGUGCUAAUCUGCGAUAAGCGUCGGUAAGGUGAUAUGAACCGUUAUAACCGGCGAUUUCCGAAUGGGGAAACCCAGUGUGUUUCGACACACUAUCAUUAACUGAAUCCAUAGGUUAAUGAGGCGAACCGGGGGAACUGAAACAUCUAAGUACCCCGAGGAAAAGAAAUCAACCGAGAUUCCCCCAGUAGCGGCGAGCGAACGGGGAGGAGCCCAGAGCCUGAAUCAGUGUGUGUGUUAGUGGAAGCGUCUGGAAAGGCGCGCGAUACAGGGUGACAGC
rnacentral:rRNA from 1 species